rnacentral:rRNA from 1 species
UGGGGAAUGUUGCACAAUGGGCGAAAGCCUGAUGCAGCGACGCCGCGUGCGGGAUGACGGCCUUCGGGUUGUAAACCGCUUUCGGCAGGGAAGAAGCCGCAAGGUGACGGUACCUGCAGAAGAAGCGCCGGCUAACUACGUGCCAGCAGCCGCGGUAAUACGUAGGGCGCAAGCGUUGUCCGGAAUUAUUGGGCGUAAAGAGCUCGUAGGCGGUUCGUCGCGUCUGCUGUGAAAUCCUCAGGCUCAACCUGGGGCGUGCAGUGGGUACGGGCGGACUAGAGUGCGGUAGGGGUGACUGGAAGUCCUGGUGUAGCGGUGGAAUGCGCAGAUAUCAGGAGGAACACCGAUGGCGAAGGCGGGUCACUGGGCCGCAACUGACGCUGAGGAGCGAAAGCAUGGGGAGCGAACA